AGUUCCGUAGGGUAGUGGUAAUCCUUCUAGGCUUUGGACCCGGAGACGGCGGUUCGACUCCGCUCGGAACUA
rnacentral:tRNA from 1 species